rnacentral:rRNA from 1 species
ACGGGAGGCAGCAGUGGGGAAUAUUGCACAAUGGGGGAAACCCUGAUGCAGCGACGCCGCGUGAGUGAAGAAGUAUUUCGGUAUGUAAAGCUCUAUCAGCAAGGAAGAAAAUGACGGUACUUGACUAAGAAGCCCCGGCUAACUACGUGCCAGCAGCCGCGGUAAUACGUAGGGGGCAAGCGUUAUCCGGAUUUACUGGGUGUAAAGGGAGUGUAGACGGCAUAGCAAGUCUGAAGUGAAAUGCAUGGGCUCAACCCAUGAACUGCUUUGGAAACUGUUAAGCUAGAGUGCAGGAGAGGUAAGUGGAAUUCCUAGUGUAGCGGUGAAAUGCGUAGAUAUUAGGAGGAACACCAGAGGCGAAGGCGGCUUACUGGACUGUAACUGACGUUGAGGCUCGAAAGCGUGGGGAGCAAACAGGAUUAGAUACCCUGGUA